AACGUAGGACACGAGCGUUAUCCGGAGUUACUGGGCGUAAAGGGCGAGUAGGUGGCCUAGUAAGACUGGUGUGAAAUCCCCGGGCUUAACCUGGGAACUGCAUUGGUGACUGGCAGGCUUUGAGUGUGGCAGAGGGAGGUAGAAUUCCACGUGUAGCAGUGAAAUGCGUAGAGAUGUGGAGGAAUACCGAUGGCGAAGGCAGCCUCCUGGGCCAACACUGACGCUCAUGCACGAAAGCGUGGGGAGCAAACAGG
rnacentral:rRNA from 1 species